UACGUAGGGUGCGAGCGUUAAUCGGAAUUACUGGGCGUAAAGUGUGCGCAGGCGGCUUCGCAAGUCGAGUGUGAAAUCCCCGAGCUUAACUUGGGAAUUGCGCUCGAAACUACGGAGCUGGAGUGUGGCAGAGGAAGGUGGAAUUCCACGUGUAGCGGUGAAAUGCGUAGAGAUGUGGAGGAACACCGAUGGCGAAGGCAGCCUUCUGGGCCAACACUGACGCUCAUGCACGAAAGCGUGGGGAGCGAACAGG
rnacentral:rRNA from 1 species